AUACGACUUGCAUUAUUCGAAAAGUGCGAUGUGCGCAUGACCGGAAUUGUGCACUGCAGGGGUCAAAAUAGUACCGGAAGCGUUGUUGACAGCGAUAAGAACACAUGAUGGAAGCAUAAGACAUGCCGGGGGCGAUAUUAAACAAGCCAUUUGAGGCGACAAAGGUGCCGGAGUUGAAAAGUUGGUUAAAAUGAAGGAUGCCCACACAUCAGGCAAAAAAGAAGAGCUGAUAAAAAGGUGUAAACUGUACGGUGAGGAUAGAGAGAGAAACAACAUAUUGGAUCCAGACGGCAGA
rnacentral:lncRNA from 1 species